AGAGUUUGAUCCUGGCUCAGAACGAACGCUGGCGGCAGGCCUAACACAUGCAAGUCGAACGAUCCGUGUCCUUCGGGGCACAAUGGAUAGUGGCGCACGGGUGAGUAACGCGUGGGAAUAUGCCCUAGAGUACGGAAUAACCAAGGGAAACUUUGGCUAAUACCGUAUACGCCCUACGGGGGAAAGAUUUAUCGCUCUGGGAUUAGCCCGCGUCUGAUUAGCUUGUUGGUGAGGUAACGGCUCACCAAGGCUACGAUCAGUAGCUGGUUUGAGAGAAUGACCAGUCACACUGGGACUGAGACACGGCCCAGACUCCUACGGGAGGCAGCAGUGGGGAAUAUUGGACAAUGGGGGCAACCCUGAUCCAGCCAUGCCGCGUGAGUGAAGAAGGCCUUCGGGUUGUAAAGCUCUUUCAGCAGGGACGAUGAUGACGGUACCUGCAGAAGAAGCCCCGGCUAACUCCGUGCCAGCAGCCGCGGUAAUACGGAGGGGGCUAGCGUUGUUCGGAAUUACUGGGCGUAAAGCGCGCGUAGGCGGUGUGCAUAGUCAGAGGUGAAAGCCCGGAGCUCAACUCCGGAACUGCCUUUGAUACUGGCAUGCUAGAAUCCGUGAGAGGGUAGUGGAAUUCCUAGUGUAGAGGUGAAAUUCGUAGAUAUUAGGAAGAACACCAGUGGCGAAGGCGACUACCUGGCACGGCAUUGACGCUGAGGUGCGAAAGCGUGGGGAGCGAACAGGAUUAGAUACCCUGGUAGUCCACGCCGUAAACGAUGAGUGCUAGUUGUCGGGAUGUUUACAUCUUGGUGACGUAGCUAACGCGUUAAGCACUCCGCCUGGGGAGUACGGCCGCAGGCUAAACUCAAGGAUUGACGG
rnacentral:rRNA from 1 species